GAGUCUUCCCCUUCGGGGACAAAGUGACAGGUGGUGCAUGGUUGUCGUCAGCUCGUGUCGUGAGAUGUUGGGUUAAGUCCCGCAACGAGCGCAACCCUUAAGCUUAGUUGCCAGCAUUAAGUUGGGCACUCUAAGUUGACUGCCGGUGACAAACCGGAGGAAGGUGGGGAUGACGUCAAAUCAUCAUGCCCCUUAUGAUUUGGGCUACACACGUGCUACAAUGGACAAUACAAAGGGCAGCUAAACCGCGAGGUCAUGCAAAUCCCAUAAAGUUGUUCUCAGUUCGGAUUGUAGUCUGCAACUCGACUACAUGAAGCUGGAAUCGCUAGUAAUCGUAGAUCAGCAUGCUACGGUGAAUACGUUCCCGGGUCUUGUACACACCGCCCGUCACACCACGAGAGUCUGUAACACCCGAAGCCGGUGGAGUAACCAUUUAUGGAGCUAGCCGUCGAAGGUGGGACAAAUGAUUGGGGUGAAGUCGUAACAAGGUAGCCGUAUCGGAAGGUGC
rnacentral:rRNA from 1 species